GGGCAAGAUAGGUGAAGUUAGCUAACCAGCAAGCUGGCUACCAAACUUCACUUAGCCUUAUUCGCACCUUCGGUGCUCAACGGGAAUCCAGUGAUUUGAGGUC
rfam:Legionella drancourtii LLAP12 genomic scaffold scf_30, whole genome shotgun sequence.